GAUAGUGACAGAGUCAGAAACAAAGCCCCGGUUCUCGUAUGAGAACCGAAGUUAAGCUACGUUGAGCCGGGGUGGUACUUGUACGGCUGAUCGGUGAGGAAAAUCAGCUUUUGCUGACU
rnacentral:rRNA from 1 species